AUUGAACGCUGGCGGCAUGCUUUACACAUGCAAGUCGAACGGUAACAGGUCUUCGGAUGCUGACGAGUGGCGAACGGGUGAGUAAUACAUCGGAACGUGCCCGAUCGUGGGGGAUAACGAAGCGAAAGCUUUGCUAAUACCGCAUACGAUCUACGGAUGAAAGCAGGGGACCGCAAGGCCUUGCGCGAACGGAGCGGCCGAUGGCAGAUUAGGUAGUUGGUGGGAUAAAAGCUUACCAAGCCGACGAUCUGUAGCUGGUCUGAGAGGACGACCAGCCAAACUGGGACUGAGACACGGCCCAGACUCCUGCGGGAGGCAGCAGUGGGGAAUUUUGGACAAUGGACGCAAGUCUGAUCCAGCCAUUCCGCGUGCAGGAUGAAGGCCUUCGGGUUGUAAACUGCUUUUGUACGGAACGAAAAGACUCUUUCUAAUAAAGAGGGUCCAUGACGGUACCGUAAGAAUAAGCACCGGCUAACUACGUGCCAGCCGCCGCCGUAAGAC
rnacentral:rRNA from 1 species